rnacentral:rRNA from 1 species
AUUGAACGCUGGCGGCAGGCCUAACACAUGCAAGUCGAGCGAGCGGCGGAAGGGUGAGUAAUGUCUGGGAAACUGCCUGAUGGAGGGGGAUAACUACUGGAAACGGUAGCUAAUACCGCAUCCAAUUAGAUGUGCCAAGAUGGGCUUUGUUAGUAGGUGGGGUAACGGCUACCCUAGGCGUCGAUCCCUAGCUGGUCUGAGGGGAUGACCAGCCAAAUGGGAACUGACACACGGUCCCGACUCCUACGGGAGGCAGCAGUGGGGAAUAGUGCACAAUGGGCGCAAGCCGUAUGCAGCCAUGCCGCGGGUGUGAAGAAGGCCUUCGAGUUGUAAAGCACUUUCAGCGGGGAGGCGUUACCCGCAGAAGAGGUACCGGCUAACUCCGUGCCAGCAGCCGCGGUAAUUC